rnacentral:rRNA from 1 species
UACGGGGGGAGCAAGCGUUGUUCGGAUUUACUGGGCGUAAAGGGCGCGUAGGCGGUCGUGACAAGUCACUUGUGAAAUCUCCGGGCUUAACUCGGAACGGUCAAGUGAUACUGUCGGACUAGAGUACAGAAGGGGCAACUGGAAUUCUCGGUGUAGCGGUGAAAUGCGUAGAUAUCGAGAGGAACACCUGCGGCGAAGGCGGGUUGCUGGGCUGAUACUGACGCUGAGGCGCGAAAAGCCAGGGGAGCGAACGGG